UACGUAGGGGCAAGCGUUGCCCGGAUUUAUUGGGCGUAAAGGGCGCGUAGGCGGCUCGGCACGUCCGUUGUGAAAUCGCUCGGCUCAACUGGGCGAGGUCAGCGGAUACGGUCGAGCUUGAGCCAGCUAGGGGGCAAUGGAAUUCCCGGUGUAGUGGUGGAAUGCGUAGAUAUCGGGAGGAAUACCAGUGGCGAAAGCGGCACCCUGGCGUCAGCCUGACGCACAUGUGCGAAAGCGUGGGGAGCGAACGGGG
rnacentral:rRNA from 1 species